GCGGGCGUAGUAUAGUGGUAAUACGCUUGCUUCCCAAGCAAGCAACGGCAGUUCGAUUCUGCUCGCCCGCU
rnacentral:tRNA from 1 species